rnacentral:misc_RNA from 1 species
UUGGGCAUAGUAGAAAACCUCAGGAAUCUGUAUAUGUCUAAAUGCUGAACAUUCAAUACAAGUUUCGAUCUCUCGAAAUUGUUGCAUAAUUGGUGACAUCACCUGCUCCAAACUGACAGGGUACUGUUCAUCCCUCUUAUCUAGCAUGCAACCCACGACAACAACGGGAACCCUAACCUCCAAUCUGCGGAGUUCAGGAAGCCAGAAAGUACUCAGCCGAUCAAGAGUUGCAGGCUUAUCACAAGCAUAAGUUAAUACAACUGCAUCAGCUUUCUUCAGCUCUUCCACAAGUUUACCUCUAUUUUCAGGACUAGAAGACGUAUCAAUAAUAGUUACAGGUACUUUAUCAGGAUAGAUAUCAUCAGGUAGCCUUGUAGGCGGCAACACCGGAGGGACAUUGGGUGGAUAAGUAUCAGUGGCGGCUGUCAAGAUCAAGCUAGACUUUCCAGUUUUAGCAUCACCUGCAACCACUAUCCUAACAGUUGGGGCAUCACCCUUUCCAGCAGCUGAACCACCUCCUGCCAUUCACUCACUAAUCUUUCUCUCCUUCUUUAGCGUGAGAUUUGAAAAUUCUUGAGGGGCCGAGGGGAUGUUAAAAUAGGCUGCUGGAAGAGGAAGCUUGGAGAAAAAGAUUUUUGACAAGAAUUUGAAGGCG